AUGUUUUGGAGAAGUCCCAUCUUCUACAUUUUCAUCUUCUGUACAGGGGUCUCUUUGGAUGUAAUUUUGGAACAAGUUGACCAAAUAACUGUCUCAGAUGGGAAUUCUGCCAAAUUCUACUGCACUGUAACAGGAGGGGACUUGAAGAACUACCAAAUGAGCUGGUAUAAGAAGAGUGAAGACAAUGCUCUGAUUUUAGUAUACAAACUAAAUAAUAGUUCUACUGAUGAUUUAAUGGGUAAUUUCAAAGGGGAAAUUGAUGCUUCAAAAAGUCAGUUUAUACUUGACAUUGAAAAGGCAACAAGGAAAGACACCGGCACUUACUACUGUGGGUCAGAUAUCCACAGUGCUGCAGUUGCUGCUUCUGACCGCUUCAAGAAAGUCUAG